rnacentral:rRNA from 1 species
GACAGAGGGUGCGAACGUUGCUCGGAAUUACUGGGCGUAAAGCGUGUGUAGGCGGCCACGCAAGUCGGAUGUGAAAGCCCCAGGCUCAACCUGGGAAGUGCACCCGAAACUGCAGAGCUUGAGUACCGGAGAGGAUGGCGGAAUUCCCCAAGUAGAGGUGAAAUUCGUAGAUAUGGGGAGGAACACCGGUGGCGAAGGCGGCCAUCUGGACGGAUACUGACGCUGAGACGCGAAAGCGUGGGGAGCAAACAGG